AGAUUUCUUCGGAAUGAAGUUUUAGUGACUGAGUGGCGGACGGGUGAGUAACGCGUGGGUAACCUGCCUCACACAGGGGGAUAACAGUUGGAAACGGCUGCUAAUACCGCAUAAGCGCACAGUACCGCAUGGUACAGUGUGAAAAACUCCGGUGGUGUGAGAUGGACCCGCGUCUGAUUAGCUAGUUGGAGGGGUAACGGCCCACCAAGGCGACGAUCAGUAGCCGACUUGAGAGAGUGACCGGCCACAUUGGGACUGAGAUACGGCCCAGACUCC
rnacentral:rRNA from 1 species